CCUACGGGUGGCAGCAGUGGGGAAUUUUGCGCAAUGCUCGUAAGAGUGACGCAGCGACGCCGCGUGAAUGACGAAGGCCUUCGGGUCGUAAAGUUCUUUCGACAGGGAAGAAAAUGCCUAUAAGUAACUGUGUAUGUAUUGACGGUACCUGUAUAAGCAGCCCCGGCGAACUCCGUGCAAGCAGCCGCGGUAAUACGGAGGGGGCGAGCGUUGUUCGGAAGGGUUGGGGGUAAAGACCACAUAGGCGUUGUUGUAAGUCAUUAGUCAAAGACUAGAGCUCAACUUUAGUAAGGCUAGUGAUAAGAUAAUACUAGAGUAUCAGAGAGGAUUGCAGAAUGCCUGGUGUAGCAGUGAAAUGCGUAGAUAUCAGGAGGAAUACCGUUAGCGAAGGCGGCAAUCUGGCUGGAAACUGACGCUGAGGUGCGAAAGCGUGGGUAGCAAACAGGAUUAGAUACCCGGGUAGUC
rnacentral:rRNA from 1 species